rnacentral:lncRNA from 1 species
CCAUUCUUGGUUUGCCUGGCCUCAGGCUCUCCAUGGGGAUGCCGCGUCCCUCAGUGCUGGGAUGAUCGCAGCCAUGAUGAACUGUUUUCUGGUGUUGCUGGACCAGGGAGAUGGAAUCCAGUGAUGGAUUUGGACCUGAGGGGUCAAUGAGCCAACAGGAAAAUAUCCCCAGCUCCUUAAGGGUGGGUCUCAGACACUGAGGACUGUCAGACGCUGUGAUAUGCUUCCAUUUCUCCACAGUGCCAUGUCAGCCACUGGGAUGGCCAUGUGCUUGUGUCAGUGGGAAGAUGGCCUGUGGACACCCAGCUCCUUCCUCCUGCUGUGCUGCCUGCUCUUCCUCUGAUACAGGUUCUUGUUUCCUCAUAAAGACCAGAGCACGGAUGAGGACACUGAGGUCAGGAGAGACUGAGCGGCCUGUUGAAGGUCAUGCUGUCCCUA